GGUGAGUAACACGUGAGUAACCUGCCCUUGACUUUGGGAUAACUUCAGGAAACUGGGGCUAAUACCGGAUAGGAGCUCCUGCUGCAUGGUGGGGGUUGGAAAGUUUCGGCGGUUGGGGAUGGACUCGCGGCUUAUCAGAUUGUUGGUGGGGUAGUGGCUUACCAAGGCUUUGACGGGUAGCCGGCCUGAGAGGGUGACCGGCCACAUUGGGACUGAGAUACGGCCCAG
rnacentral:rRNA from 1 species